UACGUAGGGUCCGAGCGUUGUCCGGAGUUACUGGGCGUAAAGCGCGCGCAGGCGGCUCGUCAAGUCUGGCGUGAAAGCCCCCGGCUCAACCGGGGAGGGUCGUCGGAGACUGGCGAGCUUGAGGGCGGUAGGGGCUGGUGGAAUUCCCGGUGUAGUGGUGAAAUGCGUAGAGAUCGGGAGGAACACCCGUGGCGAAGGCGGCCAGCUGGGCCGUCCCUGACGCUGAGGCGCGAGGCGUG
rnacentral:rRNA from 1 species